rnacentral:rRNA from 1 species
GACGAACGCUGGCGGCGUGCCUAAUACAUGCAAGUGGGACGCAAGAGAACACACUGUGCUUGCACACCGUGUUUUCUUGAGUCGCGAACGGGUGAGUAACGCGUAGGUAACCUGCCUAUUAGCGGGGGAUAACUAUUGGAAACGAUAGCUAAUACCGCAUAAUAUUAAUUAUUGCAUGAUAAUUGAUUGAAAGAUGCAAGCGCAUCACUAGUAGAUGGACCUGCGUUGUAUUAGCUAGUUGGUAAGGUAAGAGCUUACCAAGGCGACGAUACAUAGCCGACCUGAGAGGGUGAUCGGCCACACUGGGACUGAGACACGGCCCAGACUCCUACGGGAGGCAGCAGUAGGGAAUCUUCGGCAAUGGACGAAAGUCUGACCGAGCAACGCCGCGUGAGUGAAGAAGGUUUUCGGAUCGUAAAGCUCUGUUGUAAGUCAAGAACGUGUGUGAGAGUGGAAAGUUCACACAGUGACGGUAGCUACCA